rnacentral:rRNA from 1 species
AUAUCCUGUCUGAAUAUGGGGGGACCAUCCUCCAAGGCUAAAUACUCCUGACUGACCGAUAGUGAACCAGUACCGUGAGGGAAAGGCGAAAAGAACCCCGGCGAGGGGAGUGAAAAAGAACCUGAAACCGUGUACGUACAAGCAGUGGGAGCACCCUUCGGGGUGUGACUGCGUACC